rnacentral:rRNA from 1 species
AUACGUAGGGUGCGAGCGUUGUCCGGAAUUACUGGGCGUAAAGAGCUCGUAGGUGGUUUGUCGCGUCGUCUGUGAAAUUCCGGGGCUUAACUCCGGGCGUGCAGGCGAUACGGGCAUAACUUGAGUACUGUAGGGGAGACUGGAAUUCCUGGUGUAGCGGUGAAAUGCGCAGAUAUCAGGAGGAACACAGGUGGCGAAGGCGGGUCUCUGGGCAGUAACUGACGCUGAGGAGCGAAAGCAUGGGUAGCGAACAGGAUUAGAUACCCUGGUAGUCCAUGCCGUAAACGGUGGGCGCUAGGUGUAGGGGUCUUCCACGACUUCUGUGCCGUAGCUAACGCAUUAAGCGCCCCGCCUGGGGAGUACGGCCGCAAGGCUAAAACUCAAAGGAAUUGACGGGG